GAGUUUGAUCGUGGCUCAGAUUGAACGCUGGCGGCAGGCCUAACACAUGCAAGUCGAGCGGUAGAGAGAAGCUUGCUUCUCUUGAGAGCGGCGGACGGGUGAGUAAUGCCUAGGAAUCUGCCUGGUAGUGGGGGAUAACGUUCGGAAACGGACGCUAAUACCGCAUACGUCCUACGGGAGAAAGCAGGGGACCUUCGGGCCUUGCGCUAUCAGAUGAGCCUAGGUCGGAUUAGCUAGUUGGUGAGGUAAUGGCUCACCAAGGCGACGAUCCGUAACUGGUCUGAGAGGAUGAUCAGUCACACUGGAACUGAGACACGGUCCAGACUCCUACGGGAGGCAGCAGUGGGGAAUAUUGGACAAUGGGCGAAAGCCUGAUCCAGCCAUGCCGCGUGUGUGAAGAAGGUCUUCGGAUUGUAAAGCACUUUAAGUUGGGAGGAAGGGCAGUUACCUAAUACGUGAUUGUUUUGACGUUACCGACAGAAUAAGCACCGGCUAACUCUGUGCCAGCACG
rnacentral:rRNA from 1 species